AUGUCUGCCCCAAACUCAUUUUUCCCUCCAGGUACCAGCAAUAAUUGUAAUUCAUAUCACAUUAGUCCCUUGAUUGUAUUCACUUUCUCUGUCUGUCUCUCUUUCUGUCUCUCUCCCCUCCCCCUUAAUUGUAUUCUCUUCACAGCCUCAUUCUCUGUGCAAUUUCCCUUUCCAGGUUCUGAGAUGUCAUUUCUGCCCAUCUCUCCAACAUCAUUCUUUAUCGUUCUCAUCUACCACUUUCUAUUUAAGCAAGAGCAAAGUGCCAGAACACUCUGGCCUCUACUGCCUCUUGCUUUCAAACAUCUCCCAUUCCUCUUCUCUCUACCAGAAAGUCCUGACUCAACCCUUCUCUGAAUAACUACUUUCCCUGGUAGCCCUUCCUCCAGGAAUGCUUCCAUGACUCCAUCGACCCAGGCUCGAUUUAGAGCUCCUCUCUGUAUUCCACACUGUAAUCCACCUUAGCACUUAAUUCUCUGUGUUACAAUUACUGUUUUCUGCAUCUGUCUCUACACCUUGGAGGCCAGACAUGAAUACAAAGGCCAAACACCCUUAAUCUUCAUAUCCCAACAGCUACCACAUAGGCUGGCCCAAAGACUCCCUUCUUGCAGAAUGGUUUCCAGCACUUUUUCAGUGACCGACAAGCUGCCUCAUUAAUUAUUUUGUUUUAAAGAUCUAUUUAUUUAUUUGAAAGUCAGAGUUACACAAAGAGAGGAGUGGCGGGGGUGGGGGAGAGCUCUUCCAUCUGCUGGUUCGUUCCCCAAUUGGCUGCAAUGGCCAGAGCUGCACUGAUCUGAAGCCAGGAGCCAGGAGCUUCCUUUGGGUCUCCCACGUGAUUGCAGGGGCCCAAGGACUUGGGCCAUCUUCUACUGCUAUCCCAGGCCAAAGUGGAGUGGCAUACUCAUUUGAUGCAUAGUCAAAGGGACUAGGAUGAAGGAGGUGACUAUCCUCCCAGUUUCUGAUAUCUAACCUUUGGUCUGAAGGUAGGCAGAAAGUUUCUAAUAUAUCGGUAGCUUAAGAUAAACAUUCCUAACCAUAAUGUCAUGACUCAUUUGAAUCAUCAUUUGGCUGGUGCUAUUUUAAAAUAUAUACAAAGAUUCAUUGAUUUGAAAGGCAGAGUGACAGAGGGAGAGGGGGACAUGCAUGUGCACACACACACACACACACACACACAGAGAGAGAGAGAGAGAGAGAUCUUCCAUCCAUUUGUUCACUUCCCAAAUGGCUGCAAUAGUCAAGGCUGGGCGACACCAAAGCUGGUAGCCAGGAAUUCCAUAGGGGUCUUCCAUGUGGGUGGCAGAGCUUUCCCAGGUGUAUUAGCUGGGAGCUGAAUUGGAAGCAGGGCAGUCAGAAUGGAUGAUGGCAAUGCAAGUGUUGUGCUACAAUGCUGCACUCCACAAUUAUGUUUUCCACUGUACAUUUUUCAUUGUCUCAACUUUUUAAUGUAGACUGAAAGAAUAAGAUUUUAUUAUCCCAGAAAUAGAACCUUUCUCUGUCCAAAUAAUUACUUUCAUGAAAAUAGUUCUAAAACCUGAAUGUUCACAUGGACUAUAUGAUGAAACUUCAUAACUUCAUGGAAAAUGGAAAUAAAGGACAAAUUUAUUUUUGUGUGGAUCUACA
rnacentral:lncRNA from 1 species